GAUGUAGCUCAGUGGCAGAGUGACUGCUUUGCAUGCAAAAGGUUCCAGGUUCAAAUCCCCAGGUUCUCCA